CUUGUUCCCACCCGGUUCCAGCCCAUUUCUCAAGUCUCAGAUUUGGAUAAGAAUCUGUUUCCAGAGAUGAGAACCCUGUUCUCUCCUGUCCCUGUAGUGACACUUCCUGAUCCCUGGGGCCCAGGCUGGCUGUAAUUCUGUGAGAACCAGAAGGGACAGACUCGGGCCACUGGGGGAGGCAGGUGGAGCUGCCUGAUGCAGGGAUUAGAUAGAGGCAAGAGUUGUCCUCCUGAGGUCUGGGGUUUGCAGUCCUGGAGUCCACACACCAGUCUUGGUAAGAAUAAGAUUGCUGUGAACCACAGGUGCUUCUGAGACUUACUGAGAUCCAACCUCACAUUGGUGUGAAAGUGAUAUGUGUCCAGUGGAAACCAAAAACUUUGAAUUUUGGUCCUUUCCCACGUGCUAGCAAUGCAUGUGGUACAGUACUCUCCAGUGAUGCUGGGAGGCAGCAGCGAGCCACAGCUGCAAGAUUCCAAGAGGAUAUGACCCAUUCUCUACCAAGCACUGGGUUGCUAGGUUAUGAGGUUCAGUACAUUAGGUGUCUUAAGUGCAUUUUUGGCCUACAAUAUUUUCAAUUUUUGAUGGUGUUAUAGUCGGGAUCUGGAACGCCCCCAAAGGCCUGAAUGUAAAAAUUUAGUCCCCAGAUUGGUGCUAUUGGGAGAUGGUGGAAUCUUUAAGAAGUGGGACCUAAUGAGAGCUUUUAGGUCUUUAGAGGAUUAUAGGUUUCUUCCUCUCUUUUUGGCUUUGUCUUUGAGGGUGACAGCUUCCUUCACAACACAUUCCUGCCUUAAUAUGCUGCCUCACACAGGCCCCAAAGCAGUAGGUCCGCCUGAUCAUGAACAGAGACUCCCAAACUGAGCCCAAAUAAAUUAAAUUACUUUUUAAAAUUACUUAGCUCAGAUAUUUUAUUCCAGUAACA
rnacentral:lncRNA from 1 species